rnacentral:lncRNA from 1 species
UGGAUGAGAUGGACAAGAUGAUGGGCAUGAGCCCUCCCCAAAUGGAUUAGGGUUUUAUUCCAACCAAGAUGCCUCCGUCAAUUACUUACUUGUGUGGACCUUCAAGCAACUAAAGUUAGGGUUUCUAAAAACAUAUCCUUCAAUCAAAAGCCUUGGAUGACGCAUGAUGCUUCUCAACCAAGUUUCAACGUAUGAAUCCCCAACUAAGGUUUAG